rnacentral:lncRNA from 1 species
AUAGCUGAUGAAGAGUCCUAAUGCUCGUGGACUAUGAGUCCUACAUGUCUGGGACUCUAUGAUCGAGAAUCAGGAUUCUCUGAUCAUGAGUCCCACAUAUUUUGGGUACCGGGGUCAAGAGUCCCACUGGUUUGGGACUCUUUGAUUAGGGUUACAUAUCAAUAAAUUUUGAUGCCCGAUUACCCAUCGAAUUUGGACUCAAUAUUUAUGAGAGAUUUAAUUAGUGA